rnacentral:lncRNA from 1 species
UACAAGUCACCACCACCUCCACCUUACAAGUACGAGUCACCUCCUCCACCUCCCUCAUACAAGUAUGAAUCACCUCCAUAUGUCUACAAAUCUCCACCACCACCUCCUUACGUCUAUAAGUCACCACCACCCCCACCUUACAAGUAUGAAUCACCUCCUUACAUCUACAAGUCACCACCACCUCCACCUUACAAGUAUGAGUCACCACCACCACCUCCUUACAUCUACAAAUCGCCACCGCCUCCACCUUAUGUCUACAAAUCUCCCCCACCCCCACCUUACAAAUAUGUCUCACCACCACCACCACC